AGUGAACGCUGGCGGUAGGCCUAACACAUGCAAGUCGAACGGCAGCACAGUAAGAGCUUGCUCUUACGGGUGGCGAGUGGCGGACGGGUGAGGAAUACAUCGGAAUCUACUUUUUCGUGGGGGAUAACGUAGGGAAACUUACGCUAAUACCGCAUACGACCUACGGGUGAAAGCAGGGGAUCUUCGGACCUUGCGCGAUUGAAUGAGCCGAUGUCGGAUUAGCUAGUUGGCGGGGUAAAGGCCCACCAAGGCGACGAUCCGUAGCUGGUCUGAGAGGAUGAUCAGCCACACUGGAACUGAGACACGGUCCAGAAGCCGAAGGGAGGCAGCAGUGGGGAAUAUUGGACAAGGGGCGCAAGCCUGAUCCAGCCAUACCGCGUGGGUGAAGAAGGCCUUCGGGUUGUAAAGCCCUUUUGUUGGGAAAGAAAAGCAGCAGGUUAAUACCCCGCUGUUCUGACGGUACCCAAAGAAUAAGCACCGGCUAACUUCGU
rnacentral:rRNA from 1 species